rnacentral:ncRNA from 1 species
UCAACGUGGUGAUUUGUUCGACCAGCUUGCGGCCACGAUAAAUAAACCAGAGCUAAAAGGUCGGAGUGG